AGUUCAGUUCAGUUCAGUUAUUUCCCCUCGUUUUUCCCCACGGAAUUUUCCUCUUAUUUUCCUAUGUGUUUUGCGAUUAGUAGUCGUAUUUUUUUUUUGGGAAACCGGCUCUCUGAAAAGCGUUUUUUUCGUUCGUUUCUUUUGUGGUUCCAUCAUAAAACCAGAAACUUGAUUUAUAAUCACGUACGUGCGGCCAGCAGUAAAUCAAUAAAAACAAUAUUAACCGAUCGAAGAAAUACCCAAGCAAAUCAAUUAAUUUAUAUAUUGUACAAACCAAAUGCAGCCAAAGUGUUGAUCGAGUAAAACAAAACAAAAAUACAACAAAAAGACAGAAAAUCCAUCCACCAACAUGUAAGGCAAGGCAGGCAGCUCCGCAAAGUUGGCUUUUGCCCCCACCCCCCUCGCCUCCUCCAAAGAUGGCCGCCAGGAUGUGCAGCAGCAGCAGCAGCGUUUCCAUCGUCAUCAUUUAGCUGCAGCAGUCGCAGUCGCAGUCACAGCCGCAGCCGCAGCAGCAUCCAUGCAACAUGUCUUCAUACACAUAUACACACACAAAUGUAUAUUACCAACGCACACUCUCGCAUAGUCCACUCUUAAAGGUGGCGUUUCUCGGAACCUGAGUCAGAGUUAUUCCCGUGAUUUGGCAACAGAACCAACUGUGAGGAGCAUCCAACAAAAAGCAUUCGGCUGCUGUUUCCCAGAACCAACAACGAGACAGAGAGAGAGAGAG